rnacentral:rRNA from 1 species
AUUGAACGCUGGCGGCAGGCCUAACACAUGCAAGUCGAACGAGUGGCGGACGGGUGAGUAAUGUCUGGGAAACUGCCUGAUGGAGGGGGAUAACUACUGGAAACGGUAGCUAAUACCGCAUACCAUCAGAUGUGCCCAGAUGGGAUUAGCUUGUAGGUGGGGUAAUGGCUCACCAAGGCGACGAUCCCUAGCCGGUCUGAGAGGGUGACCGGCCACACUGGAACGGAGAAACGGUCCAGACUCCUACGGGAGGCAGCAGUGGGGAAUAUUGCACAAUGGGCGAAAGCCUGAUGGAGCCACGCCGCGUGAAUGAAGAAGGCCUUCGGAUCGUAAAGCUCUGUCAGCGGGGAGGCGUUACCCGCACAAGAAGCCCCGGCUAACUCCGUGCCAGCAGCCGCGGUAAUAC